UGCAAAAGUAAUUGUGGUUUCUGCCAUUGAAAGUAAUGACAAAAACCACAAUUACUUUUGCA
rnacentral:miRNA from 1 species